rnacentral:rRNA from 1 species
CCUCCUUUCUUCCUCCUUGCGGCAUCUUGGUCAAUGGACGAGAUUCUGAACCAGCCAAGUAGCGUGAAGGAUGACUGCCCUAUGGGUUGUAAACUUCUUUUAUAAAGGAAUAAAACGAGGCACGUGUGCCUUUUUGCAUGUACUUUAUGAAUAAGGAUCGGCUAACUCCGUGCCAGCAGCCGCGGUAAUACGGAGGAUCCGAGCGUUAUCCGGAUUUAUUGGGUUUAAAGGGAGCGUAGAUGGGUUGUUAAGUCAGUUGUGAAAGUUUGCGGCUCAACCGUAAAAUUGCAAUUGAUACUGGCAGUCUUGAGUACAGUUGAGGUAGGCGGAAUUCGUGGUGUAGCGGUGAAAUGCUUAGAUAUCACGAAGAACCCCGAUUGCGAAGGCAGCUUACUAAACUGUGACUGACAUUGAUGCUCGAAAGUGUGGGUAUCAAACAGGAUUAGAUACCCGUGUAGUC